rnacentral:rRNA from 1 species
UACGUAGGGUGCAAGCGUUGUCCGGAAUUAUUGGGCGUAAAGAGCUCGUAGGCGGUUUGUCGCGUCUGCUGUGAAAACUCGGGGCUUAACUCCGGCCUGCAGUGGGUACGGGCAGACUAGAGUGCGGUAGGGGAGACUGGAAUUCCUGGUGUAGCGGUGAAAUGCGCAGAUAUCAGGAGGAACACCGGUGGCGAAGGCGGGUCUCUGGGCCGAAACUGACGCUGAGGAGCGAAAGCGUGGGGAGCGAACAGGAUUAGAAACCUUGU